GGGGGAAAAAGAAGAUAACCAUGAGGUCUGUUAAAUUUGGGCCAGACCUAAUUCACCCCAAAAGCUAGCUCAAAGGGGAGGAGUGCCUAUGGCCCAUAUAAGGAGCACAUUACCCCUUUCCUCAACCGUUGUGGGAUUCAACACACCCCCUCACGCCCAGAAUUUUUACUGGUGCGUGGCACAUUUAUGGGGCGCCCAACAUCGGAUGGGGAGGCUUUGAUACCAUGUUAAUUUGGGUCAGGCCUAACUCACCCCAAAAGCUAGCUCAAGGGGGAGGUUUACUUAUGACCCAUAUAAGGGGCACAUUACCCCUUUCCACAAUCGAUGUGGGAUUCAACAAGGUCAAAGUUAGUUGAUUUGAGAUGCCUCAUGAUCAUAACCCAAUUCCACAACUUGGUCAAUUAGUAAUUUGAUAAGAGUUUUGUAUGUUAUUUAUGCUAUACCAUAGAUAGCACAAUGGUUCAACAGUUGAGUGGUUACCCCCAAAAAAUAUACUUCCAAAUCUUCAAUUUAUUUCAUCUUUCUUUUCCCUAUACAUUAUCCAAUAUCCAUUGAUAAGAUUGGAAGAAUUUCAGUCGUCAGUAGGUGAGUCAGGAGUGGGUGCUGCUGCAACCCAACGUUGUUGGCAGCAGCACAUGAUAGUGGCUGGUGAUACAAAACCACAUUACCAUCCAACAUAACCGUACCCUGUGCAAGAUUCUAUCAGUUAGUUGUACAUUUUUGAAGUGAACUUGAAUAUAUGAGGUGAAUCAAGAGAUAAUAACAAUAUGAUUUUGAGAAUUUAUGGUGUUUAUCUAAUUACAAACUGCUAUAUUAGAAAUUUCUUUGACGCAACGUGUGCAUUGAGAUUAAAGGUCAUGUGGUGAAGCAGGAUGUGGAUGACCAAUAUCUGAAAAUUAAUGAUUACCAGGUGUGGAACGGAAUCAAAGCAGGUGGAUGGUGGUGACUGUAACAUAUGAUGGGAAGUGAAUUUAUUAGAAAGGGGUAAGAUGAGCUCUUUUUCUGUUUUAGAUCUGAUGUGGCAACAGUUAAUUUAUUUUUAUUUUCUUGGCAUCACAAUUCAAUGCAGAAAAACCCCUGUUAAAAGCCAAUUAGUUCACCAUUUCUUAAUAGUUAGCGACAAAGGAUACCACAAUCAACAUCCAAAGAGAAUCAUCCUCAAGAGGAAAAACAUGGGAUGUGUUUCUACAUGGAAUGCAGAAGAUUAAGCCAGGAAACUCUUCAUUUUUUUUUUAUAAUUUGUUGCAUAACAUGGUCUAAUGUGCAUAAAGGGAACAUGGGAAUAAACAAAGGGAGAUCAAAGUGGGUGAUUAAAUUUGGAAAUCCUAUUGGCAUGCCAUUAUUGAAGGUACCUAAAAGAACAAAAUAACCAAUUAUCCAUGAAAGGGCAAUUUUUGCAUCUAUAACUCAGAAAGGUUAAUCAAAGAGGGCUUUGACUAUGAUAAUAUUUCAAAUGAAAAGGAAAAGGAAAAAUCCUGGUAACCAUGUAGCAGAAGUCCUUAACCUAGGAAGCUAAGUGAGCUGCACAUUCAGUAGCAAAAUCAAUUGAGUUAUGGGACUGGAAGGGCACCAUUCGUUCUUUGGGGGGAAAUGGCUCUUAUUUUUGAUAUCUGUCACCAUUUCUGGUUAGUCGGGAUGGAAAGAAACAGAAGGGUUUCAAUAAAGAGGAAUACAGUACUACACUGUUAGAGAUUGGGGGCCUAGGACCAUCAGACUUGGAAUUGUAGGUGUUAAAUUUGGGCCAGGCCUAACUCACUCCAAAAGCUAGCUCAAGGGGGAGGAGUGCCUAUGGCCCAUAUAAGGGGCACAUUACCCCUUUCCACAACCGAUGUGGGAUUCAACACACCCCCUCACGCUCAGAAUUUUUACUGGUGCGUGGCACAUUUAUAGGGCGCCCAACAUCGGAUGGGGAGGCUCUGAUACCAUGUUAAAUUUAAGUCAGGCCUAACUCACCCCAAAAGCUAGCUCAAGGGGGAGGAUUGCCUAUGACUCAUAUAAGGGGCACAUUACCCCUUUCCACAACCGAUGUGGGAUUCAACGCACCACCUCACGCCCAGAAUUUUUUACUGGUGCGUGGCACAUUUAUGGGGCGCCCAACAUCGGAUGGGAGGCUCUGAUACCAUGUUAAAUUUGGGCCAGGCCUAACUCACUCCAAAAGCUAGC
rnacentral:lncRNA from 1 species